CAAUUGUAGAUCUUCCAGCUAAUGUAUGGUUUAGCGUGAUGAUCUCUCUACUUGGAAACAUGAGCUGCUCUGUUAUGAAAUGUUAUGGUGGCACAGUUUUAAAGAUUUCAAACUUAUUGAUUAAUCAGUGCGUUGGCGCCAACCUUCCACAUGACGAUGUUAAGGGUGAGGAACCGCGAGGUCUGGGAUUUGUCCAUAUGAAACUCAUUACCAAUGGUUAAUGCGCUCCCAUGGUAAGGCUCCUAAUGAUAUACUGCAUCUCAUGUAUCCAUUCAAGCUACCCGGUACAGAUAAUUUUGAUUCACUUCUAUUUCCUUUGGAUCAGUUUCUUCUCCUUGUUGCUUGUUAUGUUACCCGCC
rnacentral:misc_RNA from 1 species